AGCGAACGCUGGCGGCAGGCCUAACACAUGCAAGUCGAACGAACCUUUCGGGGUUAGUUGCGGACAGGGGAGUAACGUGUGGGAACGUGCCGGUAGGUUCGGAAUAACUCAUUUUAACGUGGGCUAAUACCGAAUGUGCCCUGCUGGGGAAAGAUUAAUCGCCUGUAGAGCGGCCGGCGUCUGUUUAGCUAGUUGGUUGAGGUAAUGGCUCACCAGGGCUAGCAUCAGUAGAGGGUCUGGGAGGAUGAUCAGCCACAUUUGGACUUGGCCACAGCCCAAACUCCUGCGGGAGGCAGCAGUGGGGAAUCUUGCGAAACCGGCGAGAGGCUGAAGCCGCUAUGCUGCGUGAAUGAUGAAGUUCUUAGAAUUGUAAAACUCUUUCACCGGCGACGAUACUGACGGUACCCGGAGAAGAAGCACCGGCUAACUUCGUG
rnacentral:rRNA from 1 species